AACAUUCCUAAUUAUUUGAUGUGGGUUUAUCAAGAAACAAAGGAGGACACUCGAGAAUUGGAGUUUCUGACCCUAAGUGAUGAUCAGCACUUAGCUUAGAAAACACCUCACUCUUUCUAGGUUGGACCUGAAAAUGCUUCACAGGUUAUUUUGUCCAGUCCCGUACUGAAUGAAGGGGAGCUUGAGUCCUUGCUAAAUGAUCCCUCUUUGAAA